rnacentral:tRNA from 2 species
UGGAACGUAGCUCAGUUGGAAGAGCUUUCGGCUUAUAUCCGAACGGUCAUGGGUUCAAGUCCCAUCGUUCCAA